rnacentral:rRNA from 1 species
GACAGAGGAUGCAAGCGUUAUCCGGAAUGAUUGGGCGUAAAGCGUCUGUAGGUGGCGUUUUAAGUCCGCCGUCAAAUCCCAGGGCUCAACCCUGGACAGGCGGUGGAAACUACCAAGCUGGAGUACGGUAGGGGCAGAGGGAAUUUCCGGUGGAGCGGUGGAAAGUGCGUAGAGAUCGGAAAGAACACCAACGGCGAAAGACUCUGCUGGGCCGACACUGACACUGAGAGACGAGA